rnacentral:rRNA from 1 species
GACGAACGCUGGCGGCGUGCUUAACACAUGCAAGUCGAACGGAAGGGCCCUGCUUUUGUGGCGUGCUCGAGUGGCGAACGGGUGAGUAAAACGUGAGUAACCUGCCCUUGACUUUGGGAUAACUUCAGGAAACUGGGGAUAAUACCCGAUAGGAGCUCCUGCUGCAUGGUGUGGGUUGGAAAGUUUCGGCGGUUGGGGCUGGACUCGCGGCUUAUCAGCUUGUUGGUGGGGUAGUGGCUUACCAAGGCUUUGACGGGUAGCCGGCCUGAGAGGGUGACCGGCCACAUUGGGACUGAGAGACGGCCCAGACUCCUACGGGAGGCAGCAGUGGGGAAUAUUGCACAAUGGGCGGAAGCCUGAUGCAGCAACGCCGCGUGCGGGAUGACGGCCUUCGGGUUGUAAACCGCUUUCGCCUGUGACGAAGCGUGAGUGACGGUAAUGGGUAAAGAAGCACCGGCUAACUACGUG